GAUGAACGCUGGCGGCGUGCUUAACACAUGCAAGUCGAACGGAAAGGCUCCUGCUUGCAGGGGUACUCGAGUGGCGAACGGGUGAGUAACACGUGGGUGAUCUGCCCUGCACUUCGGGAUAAGCCUGGGAAACUGGGCCUAAUACCGGAUCGGACGAUGGUUUGGAUGCCAUUCUGGAAAGUUUUUUCGGUGUGGGAUGAGCUCGCGGCCUAUCCGCUUGUUGGUGGGGUAAUGGCAUACCAAGGCGUCGACGGGUAGCCGGCCUGGGAGGGGGGACGGCGUCAUUGGGACUGAGAUACGGCCCAGACUCCUACGGGAGGCAGCAGGGGGGAAUAUUGCACAAUGGGCGCAAGCCUGAUGCAGCGACGCCGCGUGGGGGAUGACGGCCUUCGGGUUGUAAACUCCUGUAGCUAGGGACGAAGCGCAAGUGACGGUACCUGGAGAAGAAGCACCGGCUAACUACGUG
rnacentral:rRNA from 1 species